UACAGAGGGUGCAAGCGUUAAUCGGAAUUACUGGGCGUAAAGCGCGCGUAGGUGGUUGUGUAAGUUGGAUGUGAAAGCCCCGGGCUUAACCUGGGAACUGCAUUCAAAACUGCACGGCUAGAGUAUGGUAGAGGGUAGCGGAAUUCCGGGUGUAGCGGUGAAAUGCGUAGAUAUCCGGAGGAACACCAGUGGCGAAGGCGGCUACCUGGACCAAUACUGACGCUGAGGUGCGAAAGCGUGGGGAGCAAA
rnacentral:rRNA from 1 species